rnacentral:rRNA from 1 species
AUUGAACGCUGGCGGCAUGCCUUACACAUGCAAGUCGAACGGUAACGCGGGGCAACCUGGCGACGAGUGGCGAACGGGUGAGUAACGCAUCGGAACGUGCCCAGUAGUGGGGGAUAGCCCGGCGAAAGCCGGAUUAAUACCGCAUACGACCUACGGGUGAAAGCGGGGGAUCGCAAGACCUCGCGCUAUUGGAGCGGCCGAUGUCAGAUUAGGUAGUUGGUGGGGUAAAGGCCUACCAAGCCGACGAUCUGUAGCUGGUCUGAGAGGACGACCAGCCACACUGGGACUGAGACACGGCUCAGACUCCUACGGGAGGCAGCAGUGGGGAAUUUUGGACAAUGGGCGCAAGCCUGAUCCAGCCAUGCCGCGUGCGGGAAGAAGGCCUUCGGGUUGUAAACCGCUUUUGUCAGGGAAGAAACGCUCUGGGCUAAUACCCCGGGGUAAUGACGGUACCUGAAGAAUAAGCACCGGCUAACUACGUGCCAGCAGCCGCGGUAACAC